AAUUCUCAACCAUUUCAGCUUUUACAAGUUGAAUUGGCUUGGAUGUGGAGGUUUUUGCGGGCUUCUCAGAAGUCGGCUCCUCUUAAAUGCAUUAGCAGAACCUUUGUGGACCAGCUUUUGGUGUGAUAAUUAUCUACGCCAUGGUUGUGAAGCAGCUAUUAACAUGGGGUUCAGCUUCUAAUAGUCCAUUGACUUGGACAAUUUCUGACA
rnacentral:misc_RNA from 1 species